rnacentral:lncRNA from 1 species
CUUCUGUACUGGCACUCUGACACACCCUCAGAAAGAGCACUGGGAGAACAGAAGACCUCACAAUUUAAUGCCUUGAUUUUUAAAAAAGAAUCCUUACACUCAUCUCUCCUAGCCAUCAGAUGAGGAAUGAGACAGCAAAAGUUCAAAUGGCCUGUUUCAAGUUUCUGAUAUAAAACAAUGACUUUUUCAGAAAAUCCUGGAUUUCCAGAGAGAGAGAGAGACCGGUUAAAUUUCUGAAAGAGGACACUGGCUAAAAGAAGGUAUUGCAUCUCACCCGAGCGGAUUGUGUCUGUGGAAAACGUAAGCCCCUUGCCAGAAGAGCAGCUUCCCAGCAAAGGCAGCGGGUGAAAACAGCAGAGGUCUUAAGACACUGGGGACCUGGAGUCAAAAGGGACCUCCUCCAGCUCUGCUUCCUCAUAGCUGCUUUCCAGAACGUGACUUUGGCAAAUCAUCAAGAAAGGGGAACUAAUCUAAGGAAUCCGGAUCAAACAGCCUCAUGAAGACUUAUUUCAUGUUUCUAAUAUAAAGAGAGAAGUUUUCAGAAAAGCCCUGCUAAGUUUCUAAUCAUUAAAGGUUUGUUUAAUCAACUCUCCUUAAAAGCUGUCUUUUAAAACUAAUUCUA